rfam:Lysinibacillus sp. F5 Contig38, whole genome shotgun sequence.
UAAUCGCUUAUGACCAAGCAAGUAGCGUAUACCUCUAUUGGAACAGAGAGGGAAAGACUUAGGCUGCAAUCUUUCCUACAAAAAUGUAUCACGCGAAUAACACUUGAGAGGCUUUUUUCUGAAAAGCAGUGCUUAGUAGGAAAAAACGGAAUCGGCCGUUAUCCGAUUACGAGGAGGACACAUGUAAUUAAUUGUGUCAACUAGGGUGGAACCGCGGAAGCUUAUAUAGCUCUCGUCCCUUGC